rnacentral:lncRNA from 1 species
CUAAGUCCUUUUUCCUCCUCAUUUGUACUCUCUACUAGCUUCGAAUACGCAGCUUUCUUAGCUUCCACUUUACCUUGAACCUCUCCAUUCCACCACCAGUCCCCUUUAUGACCCCCAACAGCUACCCUAAUGCAAUUCGCAGUCGUAAACCACAUAAUGUAUGUGUCCCCUCUACUCAUCUAGGCUCUCAUAGCCAACAACUUCUCCCCUAACUCCUGAGAUUUGUCCUUGGUAAAGUUACCCCACUUUAUCUUAGGUUCCCUGUACCCCGCCAUCUUC